rnacentral:rRNA from 1 species
UACGUAGGGGGCUAGCGUUGUCCGGAAUCAUUGGGCGUAAAGCGCGUGUAGGCGGCUCGAUAAGUCCGCUCUGAAAGUCGGGGGCUCAACCCUCGGAUGCCGGUGGAUACUGUCGGGCUUGAGUACGGAAGAGGCGAGUGGAAUUCCUGGUGUAGCGGUGAAAUGCGCAGAUAUCAGGAGGAACACCGGUGGCGAAGGCGGAUCUCUGGGCCGAUACUGACGCUGAGGAGCGAAAGCGUGGGGAGCGAACAGG